AAAAAAUAUGACAUGCAAUGACUUUGUCAUACAUGAUAGUGUAAAGCACAGGCUUUAAGUAGAAAGUGAUAGUACUUCUCUUGCCAGCUUUAAGUCCAUGAUAUAAGACACUGCCCUUUUAGGUUUUUUGGGUAAAUGAGACCGCACUUAUCUGUUCUUGUUUCUGGAUGUAGAAAACAAUUGCAUCUCCUGGCCGAGGUAUUUUGGCCAUGGAUGAGUCUAACGCUACCUGUGGAAAACGUCUCGCCUCAAUCGGGCUAGAGAACACCGAGGCUAACCGCCAGGCAUACCGUACCCUUCUUGUGACAGUCCCUGGCCUUGGUGAUUACGUCUCUGGUGCCAUCCUUUUUGAGGAGACUCUCUACCAAUCCACCACUGAUGGCAAGAAGAUGGUUGAUGUUCUUGUUGAGCAAAAGAUUGUUCCCGGCAUCAAAGUUGACAAGGUAAUACUCCGACACAUGUCUCCUAACAUUAAAUUUUCACGAAUUCAGAACUUUUUUUAUUGAAAUUAAACUCGUGCUUUAUUCUUGUCAUUGAGUUAACUAAAUUUGAUAGUAUAGGCAAAAGAGUAUACAUCUUAUUGUUUAUUGAACAAAAUUUUAGUAACUUACAGUUUGAAAAAUGAAAACAAUAGGGUUUGGUGCCUCUAGCUGGUUCCAAUGAUGAGUCAUGGUGCCAAGGUCUUGAUGGACUCGCCUCCCGCACAGCUGCUUACUACCAACAGGGAGCUCGUUUUGCCAAAUGGUAUGAAAUUUGUUCUCUAUGUUUCGCAAAAUGCCAACUUUCUGUAACCAUAUUUACUUUGCAACGUACGUAACUAAUUAACUAAAUGCUUACUUUCAUUGGUCAGGCGUACUGUUGUGAGCAUUCCCAACGGCCCAUCUGCCUUGGCAGUGAAGGAGGCUGCCUGGGGUCUUGCCCGCUAUGCUGCCAUUUCUCAAGUAUAGCACCCCAAACAAAUUGCUGUAUUGCUACCUGUUGUUUAUAAUCUCUACUUGCUGAUUAAGAUUUUGUUACUUGGAUCUUGUAGGACAAUGGAUUGGUCCCAAUUGUGGAGCCAGAAAUCUUGCUUGAUGGUGAGCAUGGCAUUGACAGGACUUUCGAAGUAGCCCAGAAGGUUUGGGCUGAGGUUUUCUUCUACAUGGCAGAGAACAAUGUCAUGUUUGAGGGUAUUCUUCUCAAGCCUAGUAUGGUCACUCCUGGUGCUGAAUGCAAGGACAGGGCCACCCCUGAACAAGUUGCUGAGUACACACUCAAGCUCCUUCAGAGGAGAAUCCCCCCAUCCGUCCCUGGAAUCAUGGCAAGUUGCAUUUCAACUUUCAUUCACAGUUUUACUUCUUUUUUUGCAUGAAGUGUUAAAAUUUCGGCUUAUCAAGAUUAACAUGCUUUAGGCAGGACGGCUUCUUUAGCAAUAAUAGUGAAACAUGUACUGAUCAUGGAUUAUUUUUUGAGCAGUUUUUGUCUGGUGGGCAAUCCGAGGUUGAAGCAACCCUGAACCUCAACGCAAUGAACCAGUCUGCAAACCCAUGGCACGUGUCUUUCUCAUAUGCUAGAGCUCUCCAGAACACUUGCUUGAAGACAUGGGGAGGCAGGCCAGAGAACGUGAAUGCAGCUCAGGAAGCACUUCUCAUCCGUGCCAAGGCCAACUCUCUUGCUCAGCUUGGCAAGUACACCGGUGAGGGAGAGUCAGAUGAAGCCAAGAAAGGAAUGUUCGUCAAGAACUACGCCUACUAAGCUCUGUUGUGAUUGAAAUCUAUAGAUGAAGAAGAUGGGGAUCCGAGGGAGCAACUGCAACACUAAUUUAUCUAAAUGUUUAAAAGAUUUUAUAGCCAUGGAGACUAUUUUUGUUCUUUGUUACAUGCACUUUUUAGUCACAUAAUAAACCUCUUUGCCAAUGAGAUUUGGUAUGCAUUAAGCACUGAAAUGCUUUGAUCUGCAACUUCAAAUCCUAAUAUGGGUCCUGAUUAGAAAAAAAAAAUCAACUCUAGUUGAUACAUUGAAAAUGUUCAUGAUUCCAGACUAGGAGAAGAAUCUAUCAUCCAAGCAGGCUAAACUAAGACCUAUGUGACCACCAUAAAAAAACUCGAGAUGUUAGGCAAAUUGAAACGUUAUGUCUGUUCAGAUCUACCCAUUUUUUGGAACCUGGAAUUAGUAAGCUACAACAAUUGCUGGCGAUGGCAUAGGCCAGCCAGCCACAUGGAAUGGAGAGCAACAACCUUGGCCACUAAAACAAAAGGCAACUUUCAGGGGUUUAGCUCAACUGGUCAGGUCUUGGGUUUGCUCCCCAAUAAUCACGAGUUCAAGUCCUCUCAGGGCCACUAGAGAUUUACAUGGUCGUUAACUUCAAGGGCCGUGUGAUUAGUCGAGAUGCGCGCAAGUUGACUCGGAGACCUACGUUAAUAAAAAAACAAAAAAAAAAAGGCCCAACAACCUUAAAUAAGGGUCGUAUAUAAGGCUGUGACCAAAAUGAGACGGAGGUACCAAAUUAAUUGAUUUUUAGAAAAAUUUCAAUUUGAUUUUUGAACUUCUAUUUUGAAUAAUUUAGCCUUUUGAGUUCAAAUUAGCACCUAAAUGUAUUUUUUUUUAAGAGGGAGGGUUGAAUUAAAAGAAAAGGACUAAAGUGAAAGCAAGUAAAAUAAGUGGCGGAUUUGAAAUUUGUCUAAAAAGUUCAUUUUAGCCCCCCAUCUUUUUUAGCUCUUCCAUAACCGGUCCUUUUAAUUUUUUAAAAUUCAAUUUUGUUCAUUUUCCUUAUUUUUUUUAGUCCUUUUUUUAUGGGAGGAGAGAAAGGGACUCGCCGGAUCAGGCGUAGAGAGAGAAAAUUGUCUUUAAUGAUAAUUAUGGCCACUAAAACAGUCGAUUUUUGUGUUAAAUGAUUCUAUAUAAUGAGAGAAGUUCGAGUUCGGUGUUUUUACCUUAAAAGUGCCUAAAUAAACAGAUCUAAGCUUGAAAAGAUUUUUAGUUUUGGGUUGAUUUUGGGUUUUGAGUUUUUUUUUUUGUGUUUUUAUUUUGGGUUUUGAGUUUUUUUUUUUGUGUUUUUGAGGGCUAUAGAUUGGUUUAACAAGGCUUCUAGGUUGUUUUCUAGGUGUUUUAGGUUAAAAAACAUGAACCUUGUUUUAAGUGAGUUGCGUCAUGGUUCUCCUUUUUUUCUCAAGAGAAAGUUUGACUGAGAGGUCUUUUAAGUGGGAUCGCUCACCUAUAAGGGACAAUAACCUUAGAAAAAAUCAAAAUAGACAGAUCAAGGAACGCCCGAACUAUCCUAAAAUGCAUACUUUUCCACUAAAUACUAGUCUCUUUAAAAUCCGUAUCGCCAUCCAAAGUAAAGAGUUUGUCUAAUUCCCUCUUCCUCCCAUGAAAUCGCCACCCAAUACUCGUACAUUUAAUAAGAAUUGUUUAUUUCAUAAAGAUAAAAGACACGACACAAAUGAGUGUUACGCCUUGAAAAAGAAAAUUGAAAGAUUGAUAACCAAGGGCUAUCUUCAUCAGUUUUUGAAGAAGGAUUCCCAUCCCAAGCUAAAAAAGGAAGUGCUUAGUCAAUCCAUGAUGGCACUACUUGAAAUCAACAUGAUCUUAGGUGGAACCCCUUCGGAAGGUGAUUCUAGCACUAGGAAAAGAAAGUAUAGGAAGGAAGUACUUACAACUACUCUUCUUGUAAAACAAUGGCAUGAGCCCAUCGUCUUUACCCUAGAAGAUAGAGUGGGAAUAACUUUCCCGUAUGAAAUGACAUGUUCAUCUUUACAAUCCUUUUUAACCAUCGAGUAUAUCAAGUGUUGGUGGAUAAUGACAAUGCAAUCAAUAUCCUCUUCCACAAAGUAAUGGCCCGGAUGGGGAUAUCCCACACAAGACUGAUCCUAAUAAAAACUCAUCUUAUUAAGAUAGAAGGUUCAAGCGUAUCGAUGAAGGGCACCCUAAAACUCUCAGUCACCAUUAGCAUUCCCUCUAAGCGAGUCUCCCCCCAGCAAACCUUUAUGGUUUUUGACAUGACCUUGGCCUACAAUGCCAUUUUAGAUAGACCUCUUUUGCAUUAGAUUAAUGCAGUCGUUAGCACUAGGUACUUGACACUGAAAUUCCAAACUCUGAAAGGAGUGUCCACAGUGAAGGAGAAUCAAGUAACCUUAAGGCAAUGUGCCUCUACUUAUCUGAAGGGAAAAAAAGGCCUUGGUAUUGAACCAACAAGGGUUAUUGAAAGAAAAAGUGGAGGUCAGAGCUAAAAUUAAUGAAAAACUGAAGGCAUAUCCUUUUGAGAGAAAAUGACUAAGUCGUCAUGAAAGUGGAUUUAACCUUAACACUAACACAAUAACAGUCACUGACAUAGCUCUUCUAUAUCUAAAGGUUUAAUUUUAUGAUAAAAACCUCUGACAUGCCAGGAACCAGUCCUGAAAUUGCAACUUAUCAGUUGAAGAAUAACCUAACUGUUCAUCCAGUCCACUAGAAAAGGAGGUGUUUCAGGGGUGAAAGGUAGAAAUUAAUAGCACAAGAGGUAGAUAAGCUCCUAGAUGUUGGCUUUAUUAUGGAAGUGAUGUAUCCUGUUUGGUUAGCAAAUAUGGUAAUGGUUCAGAAAAGCAAUAGUAAGUAGUAGAUGUGUGUGAACUUCAUAGAUUUGAAUAAAAAUUACAUAAAUGAUAGUUAUCCUCUCCUCAAUAUUGACCAUUUAGUUGACUCCACUACAAGUUUUAAAUAUCUGAGCUUUUUAAAUGCCAAUUUUGGAUAUUAUCAAAUCCUCAUGCACCUAGAUGAUAAGGAAAAAACAACUUUUAUAUCUGAGAGGGGAAAUUUUUGUUAUAGAGCAAUGUCAUUCGGGUUUAAGAAUGCUGGAGCUACUUACUAAUGAAUGGUUAAUGAAAUAUUCAAGAAUUAACUUAGAAGGGUUAUGGAGGGAUAUGUUGAUAACAUAAUAAAACUAAAUCCUUUCAAGUGUCUUUUCCAUCAAAAGAGGAAAGUUUUUGGGUUUUCUAGUAAGCGACAAGGGAAUCAAGCCUAAUUCAUAAAAGGUUCAAGCCAUUUUAAACAUGACUCAUCCUUGGUCAAUAAAGAAGUUUCAUUGUCUUAUAGAGAGAUUAAUUGCCCUUAAUUAGUUUAUAGCUCAUCUAGAAGGGCGCACUCUACCAUUUUUCAAGACCUUGAGAAACAUAACCAACUUUGAGUUGACUUCAGGUUGUCAGAAGGCUUUUAAAGAGUUUAAAAUUUAUCUUUCAUCUCCCAAGAUCCUGUCUCAACCAAGAAAGAGUGAAGACCUCUUUCUCUACAUAGGGAUGAUUGACUCAACAAUAAGCUUUGUUUUGGUAAGGGAGGAUGAAGGAAUAUAAUGUCCAAUUUAUUACUAUAGGCAAACUAUUCAUGAUGUUGAAAUGAGAUACUUGAAGUGGAGAAAGUGGCCCUUGCUCUGGUGAGCGUAAAUAGGAAGAUGAAAUCAUAUUUCAAAGCUUACCAAGUCAUAGUUUUGACAGAUCAACAUGAUGUAGUCGGGCCUGCGAUAACGAGUGAUUCUAAACCGUCAUGUGUGGGUCUAUCAUAACUAAAUAAAGAUUUAUCCUAGACAGAUUACGUAGAUGGCCUAAUAAAUACAUUUAUGGACCAAUAGGUAAGUCAAAACCCAAGAAGAGGUUUGGUCACACCAGAUCAGAAUAACAGCUCAAAAGGUCCACAACUUUUAAUUUAUCUAUUGGAUCGUGUUCAACUAUUUACAAAAGUUUACAAAGACUGUUUUCUCUAUAAUAUCCAUUGCAUUGCUACACGGACCAUUGGAUUUUUAGAUAUAAAAAAUCUCAUCAAAGCCCCUCAAUUUUGGAAGCUUUUGUGUUUUUCCUCUUUUUGUUUGGAUUUCUUACUUAUUUUGGAUUUUAUGUUUUUUUUCCUUUAUAAUUUCAGGUUUUUAUUUUUAUUUUCUAGUUGAAGUAAGGUUUCUGGACUAUUUAAGGGUUUAUAAACCUCCUAGUGAGGAAGACUUCAUUAUCAUUAUUUUUAAAGAGAAUAAACUUGCAAAUUUAAGGCUCACACUUGUAGUUUCUUUCACCCAUUUAAAAUAUUUUAUGUUCCUCAUUUAAUUACUUUCUUUAGCUUCUGUCUACAUCACAACGUGUGUGACAAAUCCUUCAUAAGCCAGAGAUAUCUAGAUAUCUAAUUAGAUGGCUAUUGAGUUAGGAGAGUUUAGACUUCAAUAUAGACCCUAACCAACUAUAAAAGGUCAAGCCUUGGUAGACUUCAUUAUUGAAUGCUUUUUUGAAGGUCUUAUAGAUACAUAUGAAUUUAUAUUUUCAAUCACAACUUCCUUAGCCAAACCAGAAGCUCUAGUAAAACAACCUCUGAUUUUCCCUACCUGGGGAUUAUAUGUUAAUGGCUCUUCCAACAUUAAUGGAAGUAAAGCUAGGAUAAUGCUUGUUAGUUAUGAAGAACAAGUACUGGAAUAUAAAGUUUGUUCUGAGUUCCUAACCAUAAAUAAUGUAUUAAAGUAUGAAGCUCUUCUAGCAAGAUUACACCUUGCAGGGCCCUUGAAUGCAUACCCAUUUAAAGUUCAUAGUGACUCUUAGUUAGUAGUUAGUCAAUGCCAAGAAGUAUAUAAAGCCAAAGAACCGAUCAUGCAACAAUAUCUUUAGAAGGUUCGAUCUUAUUUAAAAGCUGGAGAUAAAAGUAUUUUAAUCACUUAUAUUCUAAGGGAAGACAACCACCAGACAGAUCUUAUGUCUAAGUUAGCAAGUUUAAAUCUUAUAGACCUCUUUGUGGAUGUUUAGGUUGAAGCUGUAGAAAAAUUGAGUGUAGGUAAAAAAAUAUUUGUGGUUAUUCCCAUCAAUAAUAAGAAAGAUUGGAGAACCCUGAUCAUGCAUUAUCUACUUGUUGGAGAAUUACCCUCAACAGAAAUAUCGAAGAUCUACCUCAACUCCACUACUAAAAUAUUUAUCUCUAAAAGAAAGCACUUAUGUUUUAAGAAAGAUAUAUAAAGGUAUAUGUAGUCUACACACAGGCUCUAGAGAUCUUGCUGCUCAGACUAUACGAGCAGGUUUCUAUUGGCCGACCAUACUCUAUGAUGCCACCAAUUUGGUGAAGAAAUAUGAUCAAUGUUAGAGGUUUGCCUCGGUCUCUCGUCAGCCAUCUGUAUAGAUGGUCAAUAUAACCUCCCCUUGGUUUUUUGCUCAAUGAAAGAUGGAUAUCUUAGGUUUAUUGUAUAAAACUAUAAGCAAAAGACACUUUGUUCUAGUAGCUGUUGAUCAUUUUAUUAAAUGGGUUGAAGUAUAAGCCUUAGUAGAGAUUAUCACCAACAAAGUGCUUUCAUUCUUCUGGAAUAAUACCAUAUACUGAUUUGGACUUCCUAAAGUCUUAAUAAUUGAUAAUGAGACAUAGUUUUACAACCACACGAUGAAAAAGCAUUGUCAAAGGCUUCAUAUCGAUCAUAAGUUCUCCUCCGUAUCACAUUCUCAAAUCAACAGUCAAGUUGAACUGACUAAUAGAGUCUUGCUUAAUAGACUUAAUAAAAGAUAAAAGAAGCAAAGUCAUAAUGGACAGAACUAAUAAAUGAAAUUUUAUGGGUUUAUAGAACAACAUAGAAGACAUCCACUAGUGAAACCCUUUUUCUAAUCACGUAUAGGACUGAAGAUAUAAUCCUAGCAGAGAAUGGAUGUCUAAGCCAUUGGGUGGUUCAUUAUACCUCAGAAGACAAUGAACAAGGCUUUAGAACCAAUUUGGAUUUCUUAAAGGAAUCUCGUCUGACUGUUACUGUUAGAAAUAAAGCCUAUCAGCUCAAAACUACUCAUUAUCACAAUGCCAAGGUCAAGGAUAGAAGAUUCAAGUUUGGAUAUUUGGUCCUAAGAAAGUUGAAGGUUGUAGGCAAUAAAAAAAGUAAGGACAAACUUGUUGGUGGGAGAAACCACUGGUGGUGUAAUGCAACAAAGCUGGCAUCGAAGUAAGAUGGUCAUUUUAAAGUUAUAAAAGUGAUUAAGGUAAACACUUAUCAUCUAUAAGAUAUGGAAGGAAAGAAUCUCCCUCACACUUGGUACUCUGAUCAUUUAAAAUUGCAUCGUAGUUGAUGAAAAUAUAAAUCUCAAUUUAUAAAUAUUUUAUUCCAAUCAAUAUCUUUUUAUCUUCUCUUGAUAACCCCUUAGGGCAAAAGUCUCGCACCCUAUAAGGGAUUGAUACGAGAUCUUUUCUAAGUGCAAUAAUAUUAUUCUUCAAUGUUGUCCUCACCUUACAAAUUCUCUCAACAAUGCCCAAAUACAUCACACCAUAUCAUUAAGGUCUGUAUUAAGACUAACCAGACUAAAAUACUUGUGCAUACCUACAACUAAGUGUUCCUUUCCAUCCCCAACAAGGGGCAAUAACCAUAUAGCCAUGACUAAAAGACCAUAUUGCCAACCUCGCUAAUAUAAUAUAAGCAUUAGACCAAUACACCGACCAAUAAAGAUUUUAAAUGUUUUCUAAACAUGGGCGUUGGACCCAUGUAGUUUGCAAUUUGAAUAUGUUUUUAAGUAUGGGUGUUGGACUCGUACAAAGCCAACCGUUUUUUUCAAAAAACAUUUGAAGUAUAGGUAUUGGAUCCAUGAUGGUUGUUGAAAGAAAUCCCCCCUGCUUUUUACAAUUACAGGGUGUUAUACCCAUCUAGGUUAAGAUACAGACUACCUAAAGAAGUUUUCAAUUUAUCAAAAAGUUGAAUGUACUUAGCAAAAUAUAACACAAUAAUUGAAAUUACAUAUUUAAAGGCCUGUGGCUAAAUCCAAGGCGUAAAAACCUAAAUAUUCAUUAUGAAAUAAUAAAAAAGUCAUUAAAAAUUAUAAAAGCUCCUACAUAUUUAUGCCCAGCUCUUGGACAAGAUAAACUUCAUCCUUAGCUACAACAACUCUAGCAAGGAAGACAUCUUCAAAGUUAAGAACUUAACCGUUGGGAAAAAACUCGUUGAAGUCCAUUUACAUUCCCCUAGAAAAGUUAAAGAAAUACAAGUUGGAUAUAAAUAAGAAGAGUGUGUCCCAUAUGAUCUUUGUCAAAGAGAUAUACUCUCUAUACUUAACAUAAAAUUCUUGGGAGGAGUUCUUCAAUCUUUUCAUCCUCAACCGAGAAUUAUAAGCCUUUUUUUUUGUAUUUAGCUCCUCAUUUAAGGUGUCAUUGGAUUCCUUGAGCUCAAUGAUCUCUUUAUCUAAAAAGUCAAUAUAGUUACAUGCAUCAUGCCUCCCCAAGCUUUUCCUUAGUGGAUUCCAAGAUAUAAGUCUGUCUUUUUAUCUCUCUUUCAAAUUAAAUAUAGGUCGCCUUAAGAGGUUUCAGCUCAGCAUUUUGAGCAGACUUCUCCUCUCUUAGCCUAUGCACCUCUAUAAUGUUGGUGUGAUGUUGUUCAAUGGCCUUUUCUAUGGCCUUUAUCUCCUUAGCCCAUCGACUUUGCAAAUGAGCGCACAUCAUGAAGGUUUAAAUAAUAGUUUACGACAAAGUGAAUUCAAAUCCUUAUUUAACUAAGACUAGUCAAUGCAUUAGAAAAGGAAAAUUGUUUAAAGACUUUUCAUACCUGGAAGGUCAUAUGGCUAGUAAUAGCUAAGUGUCACUGGUAACUAGGGUCCUUCAACACACUAAUAUUAGAAGGAAGGAUGACAGCCUGUCCAAGGUGUCCAUCACUUCUAACCCUUCAUGUCCAAGGGUGGACCUCCCUUGCAAGAUAGCCCCUAUAAUCUUUCUUUCCUCUUCAUUGAGGUUAUGAAAGCAUAUGAGAGCAUGGUCUAGGUUUAACCUUAAGAAAAAAUCCUUCACUCUUGUGGUUUAAGGCACAUGGCUAAAAAGUUCUAUAAUCAUAAGUUAAAGUUGACACAUUGAGACCCCCCUAUAUGGGAGAUUGACUUCCCCAUACUAUUUAUUGGUGUGCAUCUAUAGUUAAAAGGGCAGCUGCUAGGGUUUCCUCAACAUCCAUAAGAGCUAUUCUCGUAAACCUCUUCUUUCAUAUCAAAUAUUGCUCGUGAAGAUAGCCUAGGGUGUCUUCAGAUGAGAAAGCACAACUGGAUGUUGGGGUGGUCACGUGACUAUGCAUAAAUGGCAUGGUCUUGUUGUCCUCAAACCUAGCUACUCUUAGUAAGGAUCAUGUACAAGGAAAAAGCCAGGAGAUGAAUAACACAUGAAACUAAAGGAACACAUUAAAUUAAAAUUACUAGAAGUGUUAUAAAGUCCCUAAUCCAUACAAUUGGUUUUGUAUUCGUUGUUAAGAUUACAUAACCUAUUACAUAUCCUCUCUUCCUCCUUGUUGAGGAAAGGUAUGUUGUUUACUCCAGCAGGGGGCACUCUCUAUAAAUGGGUACAUCUAUAAAUAACAUUGUACUCAUCCCGAGAUCUAGCUACACCCUUAUAUUUCAUUAGCACCAUUUUUUUUCACUUUUUUAAACAAGAGGACUUUUCUUAAAAGGUUUAUUUUAUAGGCCCUCUUGGCCUAUUAGGAAAAAAAACAAAGGAUAUAAGGUCCUUCUUAAUCACUGCUAAUCAACAUGUAGCAUUCUCUAAAUACCCUGACCAUGAGUUCCUCAUGAGGACCCUCAUUAGCUUGUCAAAGGCAAACAAGUCAUUUUACCCGUUAGGGUGCAGUUAAGUAUGACUCAUAUUAAAGUAAUGAAAAACAUCAUUUACAAAUCCUUGUAAGGAGAACAGGUACCCAAACUUGUUUGCGCAUAUGAGGCAGUAAUAAUAAAAUUGCCUCCAUUAGGUUACUGAUGACCUGGGUGGUAUGGUCAUCACCUCUGGUAACAGGACCGAAUGAUCCCUUGAUUAUCUCAAUUAUUUAGAGUUGGCCAGGGUUCCUUGCUCAUAGGACACUAUGUUCUCUACCUCAUCCGGAGGUGUCCUAGGUAACCUUAAUUGUCCCCUGAGGUUUGAAACCUCUUUGGGACAUGUCCUAGGUAACCUUAAUUGUCCCCUGAGGUUUGAAACCUCUUUGGGACAUUCUUAUUCCCUCUUCCAGUAGAAGAGGGUUAAGCAAUACCACUUUUAGAUCUAGGGCCUAUUUUAAUGGCCAUAGAUUCAUGGCUAGUACUUUCAAUUUCAAGUCUGAAACUGAAAUCUCCUUUAGCAGAUGAAAUUUCUUUGCAUUUUAUAGAAGUCAUUUUUAACCUAAGAUGAUUUAAAAUAAGAAAGAAAAGAUAAGGUGUGUUAUGUGUUUACCUAGAAGAUGACUCUUCUUCUGGAAAAAAAAAACACAAAGAAACUUAAUCCUACAUAAGGUUUCUAAUACAUAGAAUGCAAAGGAAAUUUUUGGCAAAAGUAAAAUUAAAAAGAAGAAGGUUUAUAUACAUCACCGCCUUCUACUCCAAGUAAUGAAUGAAGGACAUAUGGCCUCAUAUUAUAAACCUAGGAAGGAUAAACACCUAUUAUAUUGGUUGCAGGUAACUAAAUGGUCCUUUCAUAAAGAUCAUUUCACCUCCCCCUAACUGUUUUUUUAAAUACCUCUUUUUAAGGGAAGACAAGACGAACCUGACCAGUUGUCUCCCAAGAGGCUUUUCAAGUCCUUAUGCAUCAAAUGCAUAAAACACUUGGUGUGAAACUAAUGAAGUAGUCUUUUUUACUCAAUAUUUUUUAUGUUUUGAAAGAGCCCAAAUCCAUAAUAGGGUGAUAACUCAAUCAAAUAUGGGUCUGGCAAUCUGCUUAAACCGAUAUGUUUGGGUUUAGCUAUGAAAUGAGCCCAAGUCUUCAUGGGUUUAGCAAGUUGUCAGACACAAUACGCUUAGGUUCAGCCAUAAGCUGAGCCCGAGACACCAUGUGUAAAUCUUUGGAUAAAAAUCUUAUAUUGAAGUAGUAAAAAAAAUAAAUUAAAUUAAAAGGAUGAAUUAAAAUGGUAAAUAUGGUUAGAGAAAUAUUGGAGACAAUGUAUAAAUAGAAGACAUACUGGGGUCAAUGUAAAAAAAAAUAAGAGAGAAUAUGAGGGGUUAAUAUGGAAAUUAAGAAAACAUAAAUGACUAAUAUGUAAAUAAAAAAAGUAAGUGGGGGUAAGGUGCAAAUAAAGAAAGUUAUAGUUAUAAAUAAAGAAGAAUUGUCUAGAAAUCUCUAGAAAUGGCCGGCUAUAAAAAGAGAAAAGAGGGAGGAGAAAGUGAGCUAGAAAUCUUACAAAAAUCACAUUAAAAACAAAAAAAAAAGUUAGAUUAUAGAAUUAAAGGGUGUUAAGAGGAGAUUUAUACAAGAAAAAUUAAAGAACUCCAAGGGAUUCAACCUUGAUAGGGGCGGCAAAGGAGAGAAAAGUAGGGUGAAAGAAAUUUGAUUCAUCUUGGGAUUUCUUCUUUAAUUUCUUAUUUUUAGGGGGUAAUGAAUUCUCUUAAUAAGUUGUUUUAACUUGUUUUGUAUUUUUCUUGAAUUGUUAGACUAUUUGGUAGAGGUUCAUGGUUUAUGAAAUUGAAUAUGAAAUUGUGUUUUGAUGAUAUUUGAUACAUGUGAUGAAUAAAAAAAAUGAGUUAGUGGAGAUAAUUUUUAUUUUAAUGAAUGGAUUUGAUAAGGUUGAUGAGUUUAAUAUUUAUGUUAAAUGAUUAUAUAUGAAGGUAUUAUAUGUUAUUAUUGCUUAAAAUAAUGGAAAAUACAUGGGGAAACAAGUAAAAACUUGUUAAACUUAGAAAUAAAAAACUUGACAGUUUGUCUAUCUGUUUCUUCUUUAAGAUUAGGAUCCUAAGAUGAUGGAAUUUGAGAUAAUUUCAUUAAUAAAAGUUGUAUACAUUGAUGCUACCUUUUAAAAAAACAAAAAAACUAACCUUGCUUAAAUUAGAAUGAGAAAACGUUAGAUAUAAGAUAAAAACCAAAGAAGGGUCUAAACUAAAAUUAGCAUGAUAAUUUUUUUACUAUUCUAAUUUGUGAGUUUAGGCAUAUAGAUGGAAAAACUGAGUUUAGUCAUCUUCAUCAAAGUUUAUACUUAUGUUUUAGCUUUCUAUAUAAAGAAACCACUUAUAAAAUUAAGUUCUAUAAAUCCAAUUAUAAUCACAAUAUUGAACAGUGUUCUGAGUCAAUUACGUUGAACCACCUGAAAUUUAUAAAAUGUUAACUCUUGUUUGGAGUUGUUCUUGAUUAAAAAUAUUGAAUUAUUAAGGGAAUGAAAAUGUAAAGUGUGUGUAUGCAUGGACAAGGCUUGAAAUUAAUAAAGUGUACCUAUUGGUACAUGU
rnacentral:lncRNA from 1 species